rnacentral:lncRNA from 1 species
GCAAAUCUUAGAGCGAGACUUCCCAAACUGGUCGCACCCUUCGCCUGCUACCCCCAGAGCAAGCUAGAGGCCGGAAAACUGAGACUCCGCGUUCUAGAUUCCCUAGCACCGCGACUUCUCAAACCCUGGGGGUCUGGAGCUAGUACACUACCCCUUAGGGCGAAACUUUCAGGUACUGUAUUCUUGGGGCAAAAGGGUAUCUCCGGGCAGCAGCCCGCUGCGUGAAUUUAACGAUGUUGCAACAAACUUUGUCACUGCCUCUGAGCUGGUGAGCGUGCCCCACCUACUGUAGACUCAGCCAAGUGACUUAUCUGGUCGGAGAACCUAGUCAAUGGCCUUCAGCCCAGAACAAACUUGUCAAGUCUGCUUACUUGGGACUGAUAGACCUAUCCCGUGAGGGAGCUGAUUCAGAAAGGCUGACAACCAGAGCGCAUUGACCAGCUGCAAAGUGAAUUGUCCACCUUCGUUUGGAGAGGGUGGGCAGCAAUACCAACCUAGAAUUCCUUCUUUCUAUCCCCUAGGAAGUAGAAUUCAAGUAGAAUUCGAGUCCAAAAGUAUUUAAGUUGAUAGGUUGAGGUACUAAUAGUCUUUUAGAUCUGAGAGAAUGGAAUCAGUUUGCAUUUGUAUUGCUGUAAUUUUGAGUAGGUGCCUAGGAAGGUCUAAAGAGGAUUUAUUCAGUGUAAGAGAAAGAAUAUGGUAUAUGAGCACAUUACAGUUGCAGGCAGCCCCUGAAGACUAGAAACCCCAAGAGAGCUAGUUUAGAAGCCACAGACCAUUACCUAAUUCCAGGACUACUAAUUAAACCAGGGAUAUUUACACUAUUCUUAGAGAUCUCUGAGGUUCCAUAAAACUUUAAAUUUACAUGCAACCUCCUUUUAAGACAGCGCUUCAAGAGUUAGCCACCUGCUGAAUCUUCAGUGUUGGUAAUUAUUGGAGACUGGUUUUGUGUAUGGUCCUGGUCAGCCUAGGGGAAGAAGAGGCCACGAAUGGAAAAAGAAAUAGAGAGCAGCCUAGAAAGAGUAGAAGAAAGGCCUCUAAUUGGUUUCCAAAGAUGAAAAUCUUGGAGUUCCCGUGGCUUACCAGGUUAAGGAUCCAGUGUUGUCACUGCAGCUGCUGUGGCAUGGGUUCGAUCCCUGGCCUGGGAACUUCCACAUGCUGUGGGCAUGGCAAAAAAAAGAAAGAAAGAAAAUGAAAAUCCUGUCCAUGCAGCCUAGUGUAAGCUAGAGAUUUCUUUAUUUUAUAAAUCACCAAGAAUAAGAACUUCCUGAUUUCUAGGUGUUCCAAGAGAUUGAAUGAUAAGAACCUGAGAGCUAUGUUCAAAUGCUUAAGGAGGAAAGAGAAAAUGAAGAUAAAGUUAAAUGAAGUGAAGUGAUUAGGGAGGGUUAAAACAUCCCAUGUUUUUUUCUCAGGUUACUGAUCUUGUCCCCAAGAGUUCCUGUUAUUAGCACUGCCCUACUUUGCCCAGACCCCUCUGCCCCGCCUAUGUGAAGAUUAGUCUCACAGUAUCUGAGACUAAUACUGUCUCAGAACUGAAAUCCACUUCCUGGGAAGAAAAUGGAUUCAUUCCUGCCCUGUUGGAGUUAGACAUGAGGAGAGAGAAUCCUUUCCAAUUCUCGUGGCUCAAGUUACUCUGGUGCAGAGAGGGUGGGCAUCACCAGCAUUAAAGUGCUGGAUUAUGAGACUGGACUACAAGCACUUCAAUCUGCUGAAGGAAGAAAAUGGGAAAUAAGUUUUGCUGCUAUUCUAAACAUCAAGUCCCUCUACUUCUCUCUAGUGGUGAGUGAAAGGACCACCAAUGUUGGCAGAUAACUGGCCAGCCUUACAGCAAUAUCAGGUGGUUAUUAGAAGUUAAUGAAUAAAAAUGUCCUCCGUUUCCUAGUGUCAAGUGGGUUCCUGUAUGAAAUCCUUUUUUCAAAUUUUGUUUUUCUUCACUGUCUCCUACCCAAGAGAUCUCUUUACUCAGGUGGUAGAGCUGAAACCUCUAAAUAGCUGACCCCAUUUAUUGUAUAGAAAGUUUAAAAAACAUUUUUUUUUUCAUUUUCAAUUGCAAGUAUCUGCUUGGCUGUACAGAUAUUACAGGACAUUGGUUCCCAGACACUUCAGUUCUUUACCUGUCUGGAUUCACAUUGUCCUAGAGAGAAACAGAGGCUUGUAACAAAGAAAGAAUUAUAUAAAGCUUCAGGGAGACUAACUAUAUAGAACAAUUAGUGAACAAGAUAAUCCAGCUUUAAUUAUAGUUGCUAACAGCUGAUUCCAAAACUGUUUUGUUACUGCACUCAAAGAGUAUCCAAAGAAAAUUCCUUUCUUAUUUUCUUUGAUAAUUGAAAUGACCAGCAACUUGAUGGGGGUGAUAUAAAUAGUUUAUGUGCUCUUUGUAGGUCCUGCUGCUAAAAUGUCGUUGUUGAACAUUCUGAUUGCUAUAGUGCCUUUCUCAUCUCCCACACACUGACCUUUCAAAUAGAGAUCUAAAUCAAUGGCUUUAAUUUUUAAGCAAUCUUCUCUAUUUUUAUCUGCUUAACCACUGUUUUCUAAAUAACAGAGAAUAAAAAAAUAUAUAAUAAUUAUAGGUUUUAGUGUAAACCAUCCAUUCUUCCAAUGAUGUGAAGGCUUUUCCCUUAUUUCAUUUAUCCUAAUUACAAAUAUUGCUGUUCUUUUAAAUAAAGAUAUUUUGCUUAUUUUUCUCUGGAAGGUACCAGGAUGGAUCAUAUAAGCAACCGUAUUCUAAAAGAGAAUUUUCCACUAAAGUUCUUUAUUCCCUCAUCUCCAGGAGCUAUUUCAGAUGGCUGUGUCUCCUUUCACAUCUCAGUAGAGAAAUGUGCUGUAAGAAAUUAUCACUCUCAGAGAAAUAAGCGUUGGGCUGGGUGCUUCAGGGAGAACCAUAGAGAAUGGACGAGGCACUCACUGUGUCCAAGUGGCAUUUCGAAAUGCCAAGACAGACAGCUUUGACUGUUUUAACAUCCAAUCUAACACUGGCUAUUAGAUAUUCCACUUUGGUUCCCUUAAUACUAAUUCUAGCCAUAUGGAACACAUUUUUUGCCUUUUAGCUAUCCCAAUAGUAGAAAAAGCUAAUUUUUUGUGUGUGUCACCAGCAGAUACUGGGGCAUUUAUAGGUGCUUCACGGAGUAGCCCUCAUUUGUCUAGGUGUAGGAGGGACAUUCAGAAAGAGUCAAGGUUGGAGUUCCCACAGUGGCUCGGUGGUUAAUGAACCCAAUUAGAAUCCACAAAGACGUGGGUUCCAUCACUGGCCUCGCUCAGUAGGUUAAGGAUCCAGCAUUGCUUGGAUCCCGAGUUACUAUGCCCAUGGUAUAUGCUGGGCAGCUGUAACUCUGAUUGGAUCCCUAGCCCGGGAACGUCCAUAUGCCAAGGGUGAGGCCCUAAAAAGACAAAAGACAAAAAAAAGAAAAGAAAAGAAAGAGUCAAGAUUAACUAUUGCCUUGGUCCUACAAACCUUUCCCUUUAAAACAUCCUCUGGCUUCUGAGGUAUCACUUUU